GCCGAAGUGGCGAAAUUGGCAGACGCGCUAGGUUCAGGUCCUAGUCUUGGUAAAACAAGGUGGAGGUUCAAGUCCUCUCUUCGGCA
rnacentral:tRNA from 1 species